UCGAAUACUCACACUAUGGUUUUAUUUUUUCUCACUUUAGUAUUUUGUGAUUUAAAGUGUAUCAAGUUAGUACAUUAUAAUUUUAUUUUUGUAUCAAAUUAGUACCUUAUAUUUUUUAAACCACAUGAUACAUAAGUGAGAAAGUGCGAAACCAUUGGAUACUAACUUGAUACACCUUAAAUUAUAUGGUACUAACUUGAUACAAAAAUAAAACCACAGAAUACUAACUUGAUAUAAAAAUAAAACUACAGAGUAUUAAAGUAAGAAAGUGCGAAACCACAAAAUAUUAACUUGAUAAUCUUUAAAUCACAGAAUAUUAAAAUAAAAAAAAAUACGAAAUCACAUUAGAUUUUUUGAAGUUUUUUUUUUAUUUUUUUAAGUAAUGCUAUC
rnacentral:lncRNA from 1 species